UUUCAUUUUCUUUGAUGAUCCAUUUUGGAGCAGUUUUAUUACUGCUAUAUUUUGUUGGCUGUGUGAAUAAAGGAAAAGGGAGAAAAAGCAUGCAUUUGGUGUGAAACUGGAGACCAGAUGUCUUAGCCUGAAUUCCAAUUACUACCAGUCACUCUGUGCCAGACUCCACAGAAAGCACAGUCGGCACAUUGUGUGAGGCGAAAGCUGAGUCUCACAAACUGGAUGGUUGAGGAGAUCUGUCUGGGCUUGACACACAAAGCUUCUGCUGUGAAAAACUUAAUCCCAGGGGUUUUAUGAAUGUAUGUAAUUAUGCUUGCAUCACCUGAGAAUGGCAACAGCGACUACCAGUGGCCAAUGAAGUAUCCAGUGGCUGAAGAGGUUCAAUUGCAGGCACCUCAAGUUGAAGAUAUGCUGACUGGAAUUCUUGUUUCAAGAAACAACCAACAAAUAAGAGAAAUAAAGGAAGCUUACCAAGCAGCCAAGUUUGAAGGAGAAGGGGGGAACUGGAGGGCAAGGAAGGUGACUGAAAACAUGAUGGAAAAGAUUGAUCUUAAGUGCAUGGUCACCCUGUGCUGAAGGAAACAAAUAUCUGUGCUGUAGCUCAGUUGGUAACCAGAGCAAUGAGGGAAAGAGAAGAGAAACUGGUGGUAACCCAGGUAACUUCUCAUAUUGGACGCCAAGAGGCUGAUUUAUCUUUGGAUAAUUAACCAGAAAUUGGGAGACUGAUGGUCCAUAAGAAUGUCCUGCGGCUAAUAAUAUGCCUCAUAUUGAUUCCUGACUUGCCAGAUGAAAGUACUAAUGAGGAAUAAAUAAGUUAUUUACUGUUCAGCUUGCACUGAGGAACAUUUAUGUGCAAGUAACAGUGAAGGAGAAUAAUGGGGAAUACAAUGUAUUGGAAUCUGUCUGUCAAUGAUUGGAAUCAUAAAGCUCAAUAUCUCUUUCGUUUUAGUCUUUUACUUUUUCAAUCACUCUCUCAUUGUUUCAUUUUUUCCUACUCUUGCUCCUUUGCUCUCUUUCUGUAUGUCUCAUUCUCUUAUUGUUGUUCUCACUCUCUCUCUUAGUCCCUCAUUCUUUUCCCUCUCUCUUUCUCUCUCUCCCUUCAUUUGAAUGUUGAACCCCAUUAAAUCUCUCCCCACUCAAUCAGUGAUGGCUCCCACUAAUUUCUUCAUAUCCUCUCCUCUUCCCCCAUCCAGUUCCUUUCCCACUCCAUUCUCCAUCCCUGUCUAGGUUCCCUUGAGUUCAAGCGCACUGUAGAUGAAGCUUUCUUCCUGUGUGCCCCUGGCCUGACCCUGAGGUAACCCUACAGUAGAUUAUUAACCAUCCAUCACCAAUUGCAUGUGCAGGAAGAAAGUUUCUGCUAGGAAAAUUAGAAGUUUCCACAUUAGCUCACAAUUUUCAGUUGUCAGUACAGCCAUUCACACUGAGAAUUUGGCUUCGUCUUUCGGAUGUUUUAUUUAUUGCCUUCAGAGAUACCCAUAGUUUGAAUGUUUUAUGGUGUGUUUAUAGUUUCACGAUGAAUCAGCAUGAAUUCACAAAACAUGCAGUAUAAAGUAGGGUUGGGCAGCACUGUUCACAAGUGAAUCAUCCCGAUCCCUGAGCCAAGUCCAUCCAGAGGAGGCGGUUUUAGUAGCACUUUGAUUGGCACACGAGCACUGUAAACACAAGGCUGUGAAUCUGGCUCUGCUUCCAAAUAGUCCCUUAAAAGUUUUUGUGUGGUCUGCUUUCAAGUGACCAUUUUUUAAUGUUAUUAAACUUGUGCGUACGCAGAACUCUGCGAUCGGGUGCUAUUCUUUUAUUGAUUGUCUCGUCAGCCCCGGGCUGACUUUAUGAGAGGCAGAGUGCAUAAAUCAGGCCUCACCUUUCCACAGUGCUCUGUCUCUGGAAGCAAUAGCACUUUGCUUGCAGCAUUAUAAAGAGGCCAUUAAUCCCAAGGGAUGAUGUGGGCCUCCCCCAUAUAUAUGGCAAGAUGGUUUAAGGUUCAUUGCGCCAAUCGCUUUUACAAGAGAUGUUCAAUGUGAAAUGUGUCGAAUCUGAAGGCCUGAAAUUCCACUUAUUCUUAGCGUAUAAUAACAAGGAUGCACACUCCACCUCACUGACCCAGUCUGGUACCAGUUCAAUUGUAGACAGCAAGACCAAGUGCGGAGCUGCAGGCAGUCGGUCGCGGCACCCGGCGAGUGUUGCUGUGUAAUGCUAUCAAGCUAUGUAAUGUAAUAAAAACUUUUGCCUGCUGU